UCUCCGUUGGUGAACCAGCGGAGGGAUCAUUACAGAGAAUCUUCUCUUAAAACCCUGUGAACCUACCUUUGUUGCCUCGGUAGAAGUUAUAGGUCUUCUUAUAGCUGCUGCCGGUGGACCAUUAAACUCUUGUUAUUUUAUGUAAUCUGAGCGUCUUAUUUUAAUAAGUCAAAACUUUCAACAACGGAUCUCUUGGUUCUGGCAUCGAUGAAGAACGCAGC
rnacentral:misc_RNA from 1 species